GGGCCAGCGUGGAUGGAGGGAGAGAAGGCGCCGAGGGUUUGGGCAGGUGGGAUUCAGGGAGAGCAGUGAGCAGUGGGGGGGGACAUCCACCUUUGGUUGAGGCCCUCCCUGCACAGGUUGUUGGCUUCCCCUCUCAGACCAGCAAGGGGGGGGGGGGCGGAUUUAACCAUCUGACUCAGACCCCCUGGAGGGGAGACAGGCUGUGCCUCUCCUGAUGCUCCUGGACCCCCGCACUAUUGCUGGGUUCCCGAGGCCUGGACCCUGACUGUUGGUCUGUGUCACCCGCUCUCCCACCCCAGGCGUGCCCUCUUCUGUGAGGGUGCUGGCUCGGCCCUGGCCCUCAGGCUCCUGCGCCCAUGGCCCUGCCGGCCCUCUGCUGCCCCCUGCGGCCCUGCGGGGAAAGCUGCCCGUCCAGGCCUGGCUGACCCCCUCUCUGUGCGGUGGCUCAAGUGGACUUACCGGCCAGGUUCUUGGUGGGGCUCAAGGUCAUUCCCCAGGCAUUGGCCUGUGCUGAGCUGACUGACUCCAGCCCCAGGGUUCCUGCUGAAACCCUGCCCCACCAUCUCCGGCCCCGUCAGUCAUUAAAGGUCUCACCUCUGCUGCUACCGUCACCAUCGGCCUUGGGCAGAUCAAGAUUAGCCUGGCUACAGGUUUCUCCAUUUUUGAAAUCUUUUUUUAAGAACUAGUUUUAGUUUUAUCAAUUUCUUUAUUGAUUUCCCAUUUUCAGUGUCAUUAAUUUCUGCUGUAAUUUUUAUUAUUUCCUUUCUUCUGUUUACUUUAGGAUUCCUUUGUCC
rnacentral:lncRNA from 1 species